rnacentral:lncRNA from 1 species
CAGUCCGCCCCUAAGGUGGCCUUUUCCCUCUCUUUGAUUGCUCUCCUCUUCUCAGCUCUCAUAAUCUCUCCAUCUCUAUCAAGGGAAAUUCCAAGCUGCGAUCACCCAAGCACAGGUAUGGAUCUGCUCGUUCUCUUACUGUCUUCAAGGGAAAUUUAGCCUUUUUGAUGGGAUCAAUUAUGGCAUGAGACUUUGCGUUGGGUGAUUGAUGUAUAUAGGCGGAGAUGUUGCUGCGAGCUCGCGAGGGCAUGUGAGGAUGGCGAGGGAAGCGGCGUUUGCGCCACCUGCGCCUGCUGCCAAUGAGAGGGUCCCUGGUGGCCCUCAUGGUUGAGGCGUGGAACUUCUACCUACCUCAGAGUUCGGCCUGUUUCCGCUGCAGUAGAUCUAGCUUCUUCAUCCUUUCUGAGUAUGAAAGUUUCAACUUGGUGUCUUUGUCUGCUAUGGGGAUAUUGGCUUUGGGCGUGGUUACUGUUAUGAAUUUUGGAGCCUCUUUAUUGAUUGCAGGGAAAUAGAUAUAUCGCAACAAUAGUAGUGAUUUUCCUUGUUUUCUUUCCUCUAAUGCAGUUUUCCCUAUUGUCCUACAUAGAUGUCAUGUUUUUUCUUUUUCCUCUUUUUUCUUUUAGGGGGGUUUAUGACUUGGUGCAUAAUUCCUACAUAGUUCUCCUUUCUUUUUCUUUUUUUCCCCUCCUACUAGACCGCUACCUGUUGAGUUUAUGGGUCACCGAGUCUCACCCAAUUGUACCCCUGCUUUUUUUUUUAGGAAUAAUUAUACCCCUGCCUACAACCCCAAGGACCAUCAUGAUAGAAAAUCUCCCAAGGCUGUAUUCUUUGGCUAUUAAUGAAGGGUUCUUUACUCUGCCAAUUUCAACUUUCUAGGCUUUGUUCAAAUAACUUUUAUGCAGUGCAGAAUAGCUAACCAUCUCCUAAAUAGGUUCAACCAUGCAUAUCCAUCCCCUAACCAGCUACCCAGCAAAUAAAGUUAUUUACUUUUUGGUUAGUAUUCCCAUAGUUAGUGGGGUAAAGUUGUCCCAGAGUGAAAAGUAAAGAGAGGGAAAAGCUUUGUGUUGUCAACUUUAUUUCACCCUCUCCCCAGAAAUAAGUUACCCAAGUUAAACACCUUUUUGGGCCGUUGAUUGGGCAAAGUUAUUCAUCACAUUUUGGAUGGCGUUUGGCUGGUUAAACAAAUAAUCCUUCUUACCCACAAUUUAACUGGCAUUCAGACACCAUCUUAGGAUUUCUUUUCCGAACCUUUGCAAGAUUUAUCAUAGUUUUACACUGUGUUGUUCACUAAUGAGGGUCCUUUGUCUAAAUUUUGAGGAAUAAUUAUACCCCUGCCUACUACCCCAAGGACCAUCAUCAUAGAAAAUCUCCAAAGGCUGUAUUCUUUGGCUAUCAAUGAAGGGUUCUUUACUCUGCCAAUUGCAACUUUCUAGGCUUUGUGCAGUCUAAGCGAAGAAUAGCUGACCAUCUCCUAAAUAGAUUGAACCAUGCAUGUGCAUCCCCUAACCAGCUACACAGCAAAUAAAGUUAUUUACUUUUUGGUUAAUAUUCCCAUAGCUGGUGGGGUAAAGUUGUCCCAGAGUGAAAAGUAAAGAGAGGGAAAGCUUUGUGUUGUCAACUUUAUUUCACCCUUUCCCCAGAAAUAAGUUACCCAAGUUUAAUACCUUUUUUAGCCGUUGAUUGAUUUAAGUUAUUCAUCACAUUUUGGAUGGCGUUUGGCUGGUUAAACAAAUAAUCCUUCUUACCCACAAUUUAACUGGCAUUCAGACACCAUCUUAGGAUUUCUUUUCCCAACCUUUGCCAGAUUUAUCAUAGUUUUACACUCUCUUGUUC